rnacentral:rRNA from 1 species
GAUGAACGCUAGCGGCAGGCUUAACACAUGCAAGUCGAGGGGUAUUGGUUUUCGGACCAAGAGACCGGCGCACGGGUGCGUAACGCGUAUGCAAUCUACCUUUUGCAGAGGGAUAGCCCAGAGAAAUUUGGAUUAAUACCUCAUAGUAUAGUACUUUGGCAUCAAGGAACUAUUAAAGUCACAAACGGCAAAAGAUGAGCAUGCGUCCCAUUAGCUAGUUGGUAAGGUAACGGCUUACCAAGGCUACGAUGGGUAGGGGUCCUGAGAGGGAGAUCCCCCACACUGGUACUGAGACACGGACCAGACUCCUACGGGAGGCAGCAGUGAGGAAUAUUGGACAAAUGGGCGCAAGCCUGAUCCAGCCAUGCCGCGUGCAGGAUGACGGUCCUAUGGAUUGUAAACUGCUUUUAUACAGGAAGAAACACUCCGACGUGUCGGAGCUUGACGGUACUGUAAGAAUAAGGAUCGGCUAACUCCGUGCC